rnacentral:rRNA from 1 species
GAGUUUGAUCGUGGCUCAGGACGAACGCUGGCGGCGUGCCUAACACAUGCAAGUCGCACGGGGUAGCAAUACCCAGUGGCGAACGGGUGCGUAACACGUGAGGAACAUACCUAUCGGCGGGGGAUAGCCGGCCCAACGGCCGGGUAAUACCGCGUACGCUCUUCGAGGGGCAUCCCUUGGAGAGGAUAGCAGCAAUGCACCGAUAGAGUGCCUCGCGGCCUAUCAGCUAGUUGGUGAGGUAAUGGCUCACCAAGGCGACGACGGGUAGCUGGUCUGAGAGGAUGAUCAGCCACAUUGGGACUGAGACACGGCCCAGACUCCUACGGGAGGCAGCAGUGGGGAAUCUUGCGCAAUGGGCGAAAGCCUGACGCAGCGACGCCGCGUGUGGGAUGAAGGCCUUCGGGUCGUAACCACUGUCGCGAGGGACGAAGUAAAUUAGACGGUACCUCGAAAGGAAGCACUGGCUAACUCUGUGCCAGCAGCCGCCGCAGUAAC